GACGAACGCUGGCGGCGUGCUUAACACAUGCAAGUCGAACGGAAAGGCCCCUUUGGGGGUCCUCGAGUGGCGCACGGGUGAGUAACACGUGAGUAACCUGCCCUUGACUUCGGGAUAACUUCAGGAAACUGGGGCUAAUACCGGAUAGGAAUCCUUGCUGCAUGGUGGGGGUUGGAAAGCUUCGGCGGUUUUGGAUGGACUCGCGGCUUAUCAGCUUGUUGGUGGGGUAGUGGCUUACCAAGGCUUCGACGGGUAGCCGGCCUGAGAGGGCGACCGGCCACAUUGGGACUGAGAUACGGCCCAGACUCCUACGGGAGGCAGCAGUGGGGAAUAUUGCACAAUGGGCGGAAGCCUGAUGCAGCAACGCCGCGUGCGGGAUGACGGCCUUCGGGUUGUAAACCGCUUUCAGCAGGGGCGAAGCUUGUGGUGACGGUACCUGCAGAAGAAGCACCGGCUAACUACGUG
rnacentral:rRNA from 1 species